GAUGUUAGCGGCGGACGGGUGAGUAACACGUGGGUAACCUGCCUGUAAGACUGGGAUAACUCCGGGAAACCGGGGCUAAUACCGGAUGGUUGUUUGAACCGCAUGGUUCAMACAUAAWAGGUGGCUUCGGCUACCACUUACMGAUGGACCCGC
rnacentral:rRNA from 1 species